UACGGGGGGGGCAAGCGUUGUUCGGAAUUACUGGGCGUAAAGGGUUCGUAGGUGGCUUGUUAAGUCAGACGUGAAAUCCCUCGGCUCAACCGGGGAACUGCGUCUGAGACUGAUGAGCUCGAGUGCAGGAGAGGAACGCGGAAUUCCAGGUGUAGCGGUGAAAUGCGUAGAUAUCAGGAGGAACACCUGUGGUGUAGACAGCUUACUGGACCACUUCUGACGCUGAGACACGAAAGCGUGGGUAGCAAACAGG
rnacentral:rRNA from 1 species